rnacentral:rRNA from 1 species
GUAACGGCGAGUGAAGCGGCAACAGCUCAAAUUUGAAAUCUGGCCUCUUCGGGGUCCGAGUUGUAAUUUGUAGAGGGUGUUUCGGGCGCGAUGCCGGUCUAAGUUCUUUGGAACAGGACGUCGUAGAGGGUGAGAAUCCCGUAUGCGACCGGCGAUCAAGCCUGUGUGAAGCCCCUUCGACGAGUCGAGUUGUUUGGGAAUGCAGCUCAAAAUGGGUGGUAAAUUUCAUCUAAAGCUAAAUAUUGGCCAGAGACCGAUAGCGGACAAGUAGAGUGAUCGAAAGAUGAAAAGCACUUUGGAAAGAGAGUCAAACAGUACGUGAAAUUGUUGAAAGGGAAGCGCUUGCAAUCAGACCGGUCCGGAGGCGAUCAGCCGCUGCUCGUCAGCGGUGCACUCGCCUGCGAUCCGGCCAGCAUCGGUUUGGGCGGUGGGAUAAAAGUCCCGGGAAUGUAGCUUCUUUCGGGGAGUCUUAUAGCCCGGGUCGCAAUGCCGCCCGCUCGGACCGAGGACCGCGCUUC